CACGUAGGCACCAAGCGUUGUCCGGAUUUAUUGGGCGUAAAGAGCUCGUAGGCGGUUCAGUAAGUCGGGUGUGAAAACUUUGGGCUUAACCCAAAGCGUGCAUCUGAUACUGCUGUGACUUGAGUUCGGUAGGGGAGUGGGGAAUUCCUAGUGUAGCGGUGAAAUGCGCAGAUAUUAGGAGGAACACCGGUGGCGAAGGCGGGUCUCUGGGCAGUAACUGACGCUGAGGAGCGAAAGCGUGGGGAGCGAACAGG
rnacentral:rRNA from 1 species